rnacentral:rRNA from 1 species
UACGUAGGGUGCGAGCGUUAAUCGGAAUUACUGGGCGUAAAGCGUGCGCAGGCGGUUUUGUAAGCCAGAUGUGAAAUCCCCGGGCUUAACCUGGGAAUGGCAUUUGGGACUGCAAGACUAGAAUCUGGCAGAGGGGGGUAGAAUUCCACGUGUAGCAGUGAAAUGCGUAGAGAUGUGGAGGAACACCGAUGGCGAAGGCAGCCCCCUGGGUCAAGAUUGACGCUCAUGCACGAAAGCGUGGGGAGCAAACAGG